GCCUGGGUGGCUCAGUCGGUUAAGCGUCCGACUUCAGCUCGGGUCAUGAUCUCACAGUGUGUGAGUUCGAGCCCCGCGUCGGGCU
rnacentral:tRNA from 1 species